CACGCCCUAAACGAUGUCAACUGGUUGUUGGGUCUUCAUUGACUUAGUAACGAAGCUAACGCGUGAAGUUGACCGCCUGGGGAGUACGGUCGCAAGAUUAAAACUCAAAUGAAUUGACGGGGACCCGCACAAGCGGUGGAUGAUGUGGAUUAAUUCGAUGCAACGCGAAAAACCUUACCUACCCUUGACAUGUAGCGAACUUUCCAGAGAUGGAUUGGUGCCUUCGGGAACGCUAACACAGGUGC
rnacentral:rRNA from 1 species